CCUACGGGAGGCAGCAGUAAGGAAUAUUGGUCAAUGGAGGCAACUCUGAACCAGCCAUGCCGCGUGCAGGAAGACGGCCCUAUGGGUUGUAAACUGCUUUUUGAACUAGAGAAAACCUUGGUACGUGUACCGAGUUGAUAGUAUAGUUAGAAUAAGCAUCGGCUAACUUCGUGCCAGCAGCCGCGGUAAGACGAAGGAUGCAAGCGUUAUCCGGAUUCAUUGGGUUUAAAGGGUGCGUAGGCGGACUGAUAAGUCAGUGGUGAAAUCUCUCAGCUUAACUGAGAAACUGCCAUUGAUACUGUUAGUCUAGAGUACAGAUGAUGUGGGCGGAAUAUGACAUGUAGUGGUGAAAUACUUAGAUAUGUCAUAGAACACCGAUUGCGAAGGCAGCUCACAAAACUGUAACUGACGCUGAGGCACGAAAGUGCGGGGAUCAAACAGGAUUAGAUACCCUGGUAGUCCGCACCGUAAACCGAUGAUUACUCGUUGUUGGCGAUNUNANANCNGCGACGAGACGA
rnacentral:rRNA from 1 species